rnacentral:tRNA from 1 species
GGGGUUGUGGCUCAGUGGUAGAGCACUCGCCUGGCAUGGGCAAGGAACUGGGUUCGAUCCUCAGCACCA